GGCCGUUAAAGGCUAAGGCUAACAACCAAAACAUAAAAGGUUCGAUUCCCAGCACCCACAAUGAGU
rnacentral:snRNA from 2 species